GCGGCGGCACGUAGGACGGAUCUCUUGGAUUUACCUGUAACGAGGAGCGGCGCACCCCAGGAGCCCCGGCAGCACCCCAGGAGCCCCGGCAGCACCCCGGGAGCCCCGGCAGCACCCCAGGAGCCCCGGCAGCACCCCAGGAGCCCCGGUACGCAACCCUCCCCCGGGAACCCCGGCAGCACCCCGGGAACCCCGGCAGCACCCCGGGAACCCCGGCAGCACCCCGGGAACCCCGGCAGCACCCCGGGAACCCCGGCAGCACCCCGGGAACCCCGGCAGCACCCCGGGAACCCCGGCAGCACCCCGGGAACCCCGGCAGCACCCCGGGAGCCCCGGCAGCACCCCAGGAGCCCCGGCAGCACCCCAGGAGCCCCGGCAGCACCCCGGGAGCCCCGGCAGCACCCCGGGAGCCCCGGCAGCACCCCAGGAGCCCCGGCAGCACCCCAGGAGCCCCGGUACGCAACCCUCCCCCGGGAACCCCGGCAGCACCCCGGGAACCCCGGCAGCACCCCGGGAACCCCGGCAGCACCCCGGGAACCCCGGCAGCACCCCGGGAACCCCGGCAGCACCCCGGGAACCCCGGCAGCACCCCGGGAGCCCCGGCAGCACCCCAGGAGCCCCGGCAGCACCCCAGGAGCCCCGGCAGCACCCCGGGAGCCCCGGCAGCACCCCGGGAGCCCCGGCAGCACCCCAGGAGCCCCGGCAGCACCCCAGGAGCCCCGGUACGCAACCCUCCCCCGGGAACCCCGGCAGCACCCCGGGAACCCCGGCAGCACCCCGGGAACCCCGGCAGCACCCCGGGAACCCCGGCAGCACCCCGGGAGCCCCGGCAGCACCCCAGGAGCCCCGGCAGCACCCCAGGAGCCCCGGCAGCACCCCGGGAGCCCCGGCAGCACCCCGGGAGCCCCGGCAGCACCCCGGGAGCCCCGGCAGCACCCCAGGAGCCCCGGCAGCACCCCAGGAGCCCCGGUACGCAACCCUCCCCCGGGAACCCCGGCAGCACCCCGGGAACCCCGGCAGCACCCCGGGAACCCCGGCAGCACCCCGGGAACCCCGGCAGCACCCCGGGAACCCCGGCAGCACCCCGGGAACCCCGGCAGCACCCCGGGAACCCCGGCAGCACCCCGGGAACCCCGGCAGCACCCCGGGAACCCCGGCAGCACCCCGGGAGCCCCGGCAGCACCCCAGGAGCCCCGGCAGCACCCCAGGAGCCCCGGCAGCACCCCAGGAGCCCCGGCAGCACCCCAGGAGCCCCGGCAGCACCCCAGGAGCCCCGGCAGCACCCCAGGAGCCCCGGCAGCACCCCAGGAGCCCCGGCGCCACCCUCCCCCCGGAGGGGGAUCCCGGCGCGCCACCCUCCCCCCGGAGGGGGAUCCCGGCGCGCCACCCUCCCCCCGGAGGGGGAUCCCGGCGCGCCACCCUCCCCCCGGAGGGGGAUCCCGGCGCGCCACCCUCCCCCCGGAGGGGGAUCCCGGCGCGCCACCCUCCCCCCGGAGGGGGAUCCCGGCGCGCCACCCUCCCCCCGGAGGGGGAUCCCGGCGCGCCACCCUCCCCGGCAACAACCUGUUGCCAUGUAUUGCGAUUUGUAUCAGUCACAAGCACACAACCCCUUCUAGUAUUAAUGAUGUUUAAAACGUUCUACACGUACGGCGGACCGCAUCCGUCGCAAGCACGCGCAUAUAACCCCCAAAUGCACCAUGAUGAGAAGCACAGCCACGCGUCAAAAAACUUUAAAAACAUCGUUAUCCAAUAUUAAAAACCACACCGAAAUUUACACAGGUGGCACGUUACCGUGUUAGUGUCACCCACUGUACACAAGGCGUGUCGUAUAUGUAGUAUAGGUAUUUGAUGAGGCGGAAGCAUAUCCCGCUUCCAGCGAACGGAAAUAAGGAUCAUCCGUUCCAGCAUUUAUUCAAAGGGGGCACAGAGGGUUCACAUUGUUUAGAGAGAGUUUUUCUUAGUAACCAUUCCAUACUUUGGCAGUAUUGGCCUACGAUUUGGGCGACGUUUCAGGCUGGUCUAUUCUCCGUCCACUUUUCCCCGGCUAUUCUAUCCCAGCAUAGGCUCUUGAAAUAAACAAUGUUUACCGAGUAAAA
rnacentral:misc_RNA from 1 species